UACGAGGGGGGCGAGUGUUGUUCGGAAUUAUUGGGCGUAAAGGGUGCGUAGGCGGUUUGGUAAGUCUGAUGUGAAAUCUAUGGGCUCAACUCAUAGUCUGCAUCGGAAACUGCCGGGCUUGAGUGUGGGAGAGGUGAGUGGAAUUCCUGGUGUAGCGGUGAAAUGCGUAGAUAUCAGGAGGAACACCUGUGGCGAAAGCGGCUCACUGGACCAUAACUGACGCUGAUGCACGAAAGCUAGGGGAGCAAACAGG
rnacentral:rRNA from 1 species